rnacentral:rRNA from 1 species
CUGCUGCCUCCCGUAGGAGUUUGGGCCGUGUCUCAGUCCCAAUGUGGCCGUCCACCCUCUCAGGCCGGCUACUGAUCGCUGCCUUGGUGGGCCGUUACCCCGCCAACAAGCUAAUCAGACGCGGGUCCAUCUUACACCACCGGAGUUUUUCACACAAAUCCAUGCGGCUUCGUGCGCUUAUGCGGUAUUAGCACCUAUUUCUAAGUGUUAUCCCCCAGUGUAAGGCAGGUUACCCACGCGUUACUCACCCGUCCGCCACUAAG